rnacentral:rRNA from 1 species
AUUGAACGCUGGCGGCAGGCCUAACACAUGCAAGUCGAGCGGAUGAAGGGAGCUUGCUCCUGGAUUCAGCGGCGGACGGGUGAGUAAUGCCUAGGAAUCUGCCUGGUAGUGGGGGAUAACGUCCGGAAACGGGUGCUAAUACCGCAUACGUCCUGAGGGAGAAAGUGGGGGAUCUUCGGACCUCACGCUCUCAGAUGAGUCUAGGUCGGAUUAGUUAGUUGGUGGGGUAAAGGCCUACCAAGGCGACGAUCCGCAACUGGUCUGAGAGGAUGAUCAGUCACACUGGAACUGAGACACGGUCCAGACUCCUACGGGAGGCAGCAGUGGGGAAUAUUGGGCAAUGGGCGAAAGCCUGAUCCAGCCAUGCCGCGUGUGUGAAGAAGGUCUUCGGAUUGUAAAGCACUUUAAGUGGGGAGGAAGGGCAGUAAGUUAAUACCUUGCUGUUUUGACGGUACCAACAGAAUAAGCACCGGCUAACUUCGUG